rnacentral:tRNA from 2 species
GCGGGGGUGCCGGAGCGGUCAAACGGGCCAGGCUUAGGACCUGGUAGCUUAGUGCUUACGCAGGUUCGAAUCCUGUCCCCCGCA